GAUGAACGCUGGCGGCGUGCCUAAUACAUGCAAGUCGAGCGAACAGACGAGGAGCUUGCUCCUCUGACGUUAGCGGCGGACGGGUGAGUAACACGUGGAUAACCUACCUAUAAGACUGGGAUAACUUCGGGAAACCGGAGCUAAUACCGGAUAAUAUAUUGAACCGCAUGGUUCAAUAGUGAAAGACGGUUUUGCUGUCACUUAUAGAUGGAUCCGCGCGGCAUUAUCUAGUGGGUAAGGUAACGGCUUACCAAGGCAACGAUGCGUAGCCGACCUGAGAGGGUGAUCGGCCACACUGGAACUGAGACACGGUCCAGACUCCUACGGGAGGCAGCAGUAGGGAAUCUUCCGCAAUGGGCGAAAGCCUGACGGAGCAACGCCGCGUGAGUGAUGAAGGUCUUCGGAUCGUAAAACUCUGUUAUUAGGGAAGAACAAAUGUGUAAGUAACUAUGCACGUCUUGACGGUACCUAAUCAGAAAGCCACGGCUAACUACGUG
rnacentral:rRNA from 1 species